GGGGCUAUAGCUUAGUUGGUAGAGCACGGCAUUCGCAUUGCCAAGACGCCGGUUCGAUUCCGGCUAGCUCCA
rnacentral:tRNA from 3 species